ACGCUUCUUUUUCCACCGGAGCUUGCUCCACCGGAAAAAGAGGAGUGGCGAACGGGUGAGUAACACGUGGGUAACCUGCCCAUCAGAAGGGGAUAACACUUGGAAACAGGUGCUAAUACCGUAUAACAAUCGAAACCGCAUGGUUUUGAUUUGAAAGGCGCUUUCGGGUGUCGCUGAUGGAUGGACCCGCGGUGCAUUAGCUAGUUGGUGAGGUAACGGCUCACCAAGGCCACGAUGCAUAGCCGACCUGAGAGGGUGAUCGGCCACAUUGGGACUGAGACACGGCCCAAACUCCUACGGGAGGCAGCAGUAGGGAAUCUUCGGCAAUGGACGAAAGUCUGACCGAGCAACGCCGCGUGAGUGAAGAAGGUUUUCGGAUCGUAAAACUCUGUUGUUAGAGAAGAACAAGGAUGAGAGUAACUGUUCAUCCCUUGACGGUAUCUAACCAGAAAGCCACGGCUAACUACGUGCCAGCAGCCGCGGUAAUACGUAGGUGGCAAGCGUUGUCCGGAUUUAUUGGGCGUAAAGCGAGCGCAGGCGGUUUCUUAAGUCUGAUGUGAAAGCCCCCGGCUCAACCGGGGAGGGUCAUUGGAAACUGGGAGACUUGAGUGCAGAAGAGGAGAGUGGAAUUCCAUGUGUAGCGGUGAAAUGCGUAGAUAUAUGGAGGAACACCAGUGGCGAAGGCGGCUCUCUGGUCUGUAACUGACGCUGAGGCUCGAAAGCGUGGGGAGCAAACAGGAUUAGAUACCCUGGUAGUCCACGCCGUAA
rnacentral:rRNA from 1 species